AGUCAAUAGAUACCCGGGUAGUCCACGCCGUAAACGAUGAGUACUAGGUGUAGGAGGUAUCGACUCCUUCUGUGCCGCAGUUAAACACAAUAAGUACUCCGCCUGGGAAGUACGGUCGCAAGAUUAAAACUCAGAGGAAUUGACGGGGGCCCGCACAAGCAGCGGAGCAUGUGGUUUAAUUCGAAGCAACGCGAAGAACCUUACCUAGACUUGACAUCUCCUGAAUAGCGCAGAGAUGCGUGAAGCCCUUCGGGGCAGGAAAACAGGUGGUGCAUGGUUGUCGUCAGCUCGUGUCGUGAGAUGUUGGGUUAAGUCCCGCAACGAGCGCAACCCCUAUUAUUAGUUGCUACCAUUAAGUUGAGCACUCUAAUGAGACUGCCCGGGUUAACCGGGAGGAAGGCGGGGAUGACGUCAAAUCAUCAUGCCCCUUAUGUCUAGGGCUACACACGUGCUACAAUGGUGAGAACAACGAGAUGCAAUACCGCGAGGUGGAGC
rnacentral:rRNA from 1 species